AUUGAACGCUGGCGGCAGGCUUAACAAAUGCAAGCCGAGCGGGGGAAGGUAGCUUGCUACCGGACCUAGCGGCGGACGGGUGAGUAAUGCUUAGGAAUCUGCCUAUUAGUGGGGGACAACAUCCCGAAAGGGAUGCUAAUACCGCAUACGUCCUACGGGAGAAAGCAGGGGAUCUUCGGACCUUGCGCUAAUAGAUGAGUCUAAGUCGGAUUAGCUAGUUGGUGGGGUAAAGGCCUACCAAGGGGACGAUCUGUGGCGGGUCUGGGAGGAUGAUCCGCCACACUGGGACUGGGACACGGACCGGACUCCUACGGGAGGCAGCAGUGGGGAAUAUUGGACAAUGGGGGGAACCCUGAUCCAGCCAUGCCGCGUGUGUGGAGGAGGCCCUAUGGUUGUAAAGCACUUUAAGCGAGGAGGAGGCUACUCUAGUUAAUACCUAGGGAUAGUGGACGUUACUCGCAGAAUAAGCACCGGCUAACUCUGUGCCAGCCGCCGCGGUAA
rnacentral:rRNA from 1 species